rnacentral:rRNA from 1 species
UAGGGAAUCUUCGGCAAUGGACGAAAGUCUGACCGAGCAACGCCGCGUGAGUGAAGAAGGUUUUCGGAUCGUAAAACUCUGUUGUUAGAGAAGAACAAGGACGUUAGUAACUGAACGUCCCCUGACGGUAUCUAACCAGAAAGCCACGGCUAACUACGUGCCAGCAUCCGCGGUAAUACGUAGGUGGCAAGCGUUGUCCGGAUUUAUUGGGCGUAAAGCGAGCGCAGGCGGUUUCUUAAGUCUGAUGUGAAAGCCCCCGGCUCAACCGGGGAGGGUCAUUGGAAACUGGGAGACUUGAGUGCAGAAGAGGAGAGUGGAAUUCAAUGUGUAGCGGUGAAAUGCGUAGAUAUAUGGAGGAACACCAGUGGCGAAGGCGGCUCUCUGGUCUGUAACUGACGCUGAGGCUAGAAAGAGUGGGGAGCAAACAGG